CUUUAAAGAGUCAAGACACAAACAUGUUCAGAUAAGCGGAGUGUCACUGUAGUAGGUGGCUGUGUAGGCAGCGGGCAGUGCCCUGGGUUCUGUUUGGUGCAGGACAGGCAGGGAUGUGCCAGGAGCCCUCUCAGCCCGCUCCGGUGCCGACGUUCCCUGGGUAUCCGAUCCGGCAUUAGCAUGCUGACAGCUCAGCAUUUAGGACAUUAUGGAGAAGGCUGAUGUUGGUCCUGGAGUGGCCCUGGUGCUGCAGUGGCUCUGGGUGCUGGCCCUGGGCAGCUGAGGUUUGACCCGAGUGGAACUCGCUGCCGGCUCCUCGCACCCGCUGCUGGCACAGCACAGAGGGAAUCAGUUCUCCUGAUUCUCACCUAAUGAAGCCAUUCGGAGACUGCAGCUCUGUCACUUGUGCAGUUACUGAAUAUAAUCAUCCCAAUAAAAUCUACAGUUAAGAAAAAAUCCA
rnacentral:lncRNA from 1 species